UACGUAGGCAGCAAGCGUUGUUCGGAAUUACUGGGCGUAAAGAGUGUGUAGGCGGUGCUCUAAGUCUGGUGUGAAAUCUCCCGGCUCAACUGGGAGGGUGCGCCGGAAACUGGAGUGCUCGAGUGUGGGAGAGGUAAGCGGAAUUCCUGGUGUAGCGGUGAAAUGCGUAGAUAUCAGGAGGAACACCUGUGGUGUAGGCAGCUUACUGGACCAUGACUGACGCUGAGACACGAAAGCGUGGGUAGCAAACAGG
rnacentral:rRNA from 1 species